UGUGUGUGGACUCGGGGAGGGCGGCGGGGGGCCGCUCCUCGGGGCCGUCUGCCUGCAGGAAGGAGUCCACGGACUUGCUGCUGAGGCGGAAGGGCAUCAGGCGGCAGAAGGUGCCGGGAGAGUAGGGAAUCUGCGUGCGGGCCCUCUGCGAGGGGACCACCGUCUCCCCGGGAGACAGCCAGGGCGGCAGCCUGGCCAGGAGGCUGCGGUCCAGGGCCUCGUCCGGAGAAAACACAGGGUUGUCAAUUCCUAGGAGAGAGGGCAGCGGCUAGUCAGCCUUCGGAGAGCCCCACGGCGGCAGGGGAGACCUCGCCGGGGCCGUCACCUGCUGGGUGCCUUGGAAAGUUAGGGUCACCGGGAAGGUUAGGGUCACGUGCCUUUCAGGUUGCGGGCCCUUCCCCCACAUCCAUGACCCCACACGCCACAGGCAGCACAGGUUGGCCGCCUUCUUGUUCUGGUUGAGCCCCAGCUUGGUCGACUUGAAGGACUCCAGGCGCUUCCGCAUGGUCCUGUGGAAGAUUUCCCGGUCCUGUUUCUCGUCCUCCGUGGGCGUGAGCUCGUGUCGGCUGUACAGAUGCUUGUACUGCGGGAUCAGGCACGGAGGUCACAGCUGUGCCCACCGCCGGACAUUCUCGCCCUCCUGCCGCAGGAGCUGAGCACGGAUCCCCCGUGGUCCCAGGAGGGGACGAGGAAGCCGCCCCACGGGGUCCCUGCGGGGUCCUCCAGCCCCCAGCCCGCAGUGCCCACCUCCUGCCGCGGCUUGUACAGGUACUGCUGUAGCGUGUGGUGCGUGACCAUGUCCUCCGCGUCCCGGAUGCUCCGCCGUCGCUGCUCCAGAGACUGCAUGUCCAGGCAGACAGCGCUGACAUUUUCUCUCCUGCGUGGGGACCAGCGCUGAGCCAUACAGGCUCCCUCAGGGCCAGGAGCCACCACAGCCCUGUCUGUGACUCUCAGCUCCCGAGGCUGGGCUCUUCCCCAGGGAAGCUGCAUGACCAUGGCCACAUACAGGAGGUAGGAGACAGAGGCCUCCACGGUGGACGAUCGUGGCGUGAAGUCCACGUUGACCACGUUGUCGGUGCUGGGGGAGCGGAUGAAGGCCAGGGACCCGCGGCGCUCUCCCUGUGGUCAGGAAGCAGCCCGGGGUCUCUGUCCCUGCAGGAGACCCUAAAACUCCAUUGGCCUCAUGUCCAGAACUGAAUCAGGUAGAGAACGGAGCAGAGCCCGAUGGGGCACAGAAGCCACACAGCUGAGUGCCAGAGGAUGGAAGUGGGGCCGCCUAUGUGUCCUCAGACCCCACCCGCCUGAUGGCAGGGCCUGGAGAGCAUGAGGUCCCAGGGAAGCCCCCGGGGUCAGGUGGGUGCCGCUGUUCCCACUGAAGAUGCGGCCCCCAGUUCACUGCCCACUCGGGGGGGAUUUGAGGGUCAUUGGUUCUGAGGGCCCUCCGCCUGCUCUUUUGCUUCUAAAUCCAGCAUCUUCUGUAUGACCUUUGUCCCGCUCCUGCCACCCCACGAAGACAGACGUGAGGGUCAGGGGAGCCACGGUGCUAACUGCCACUCUGGGCGGGCACAGGCGAGGGCUGUGCAGCACCCGGGCACGUGGGGUCUUCGGAGGGGCUGCUCCCCACACCACUUCCCCUGCCCCUGCCGAGCCCUGCCGUGGGGUGGGGGGGCGCAGGGAGAGAAAGCAGCCGCCCUGGGUGAGAGCCAGGAGGGACACUGGGCAGGCAGAUGCCACCCCAGGUGUGGGGACCCCCGCUACUGAGUGGCCGGGAGGAGCCCACAGGCUCCCCACAUGCAGCUGAGCCCAGGGUUGUGGUCGUGGGUCGUGGGUCAAGGAUGGUGGCUGGUGUGGUUGGGGGAGAGGCUCAAGGCCCGCCUGCCAACCUUGUCACCUAUGUGGGGGUGAGGGGAGCCCGCCAGAGGCCAGAGCCCCCACUGUCCCUUCCCACCCUCCAGCCAGGCUCCAGGCCUCCUAGGGCCAGAGUAUCUGAGCUUUCUCUCGCUUGCCGGGCCUGUGGUUUGGGGGUUUGUGUGGAGCCUGGUCCAGGAGCCCUCCUUCCUGAUCUGCACUGGCUGGCCCUCCUGACAGCCCCAGGCCCCCGUGCCCUCUGCCAGGAGGUGCCUUGCCACUUGGCAUGGCCCCAGUCACGGGUGGCACAUCUGGGGUGAAUGCACGUCAGUGGAGGCAGAAUCAUUCUGUCUGAAUGAAUGGAGUUUCCAGGCCCCCACUGGCCCUCUGUGUGAGGGUCUGCAGGGUUUGGCAGGACAGGUCUUUCUCUCCGGCGAGAGCACCCACCCUGACCGGCUGCUGGAUGAGGGCACCAAAGCUCGCUAGGGAGGGCUCUGUCCUUAGGGAGGAGCUGCGGAAUCCCUGCAGCUGUGCCCCCAGGCCCUGCCUUGCACACUUCCUGCAGCCAGGGCGCCCCUGGGGAGGUCAGGGCAGGCCGGGGAGGCUGAGGCCCACCUGCCAUAGUGGGCAGGUGCGGGAGCCAGGGCGGCAGUGGCCUCGGGGCUGGGUGGGGCGCCUGGCCUCUGGUCUCUGGAGCAGUCAGGGGCUCUGCAGACGCUGAGAGGCCUGCUCAUAGUGGACUGGGAGAUGCUGGAGCAGCCUCAGAGCCAUGGCCGGCCCACAGCGGGAGACGGCCCUGCUGCUGCCCCUCUGCCUGUGCGUGUGCACCUGUGGGCACCUGCGUGUGCUGGGGCAGGCAGGGCUGUAUUGGGACCAGGUCCCGUAACAGCCUGCCUGCUUACCGUCUGCUCCCAUCCCUGGGGAAAGCAAGGGAGCUCGGGGUCCUAGGACCUGACCUCAGCGCUCACCCCCACCAGCACCACAGUCACCAGGACUCUGUGACUCAGUUUACCCCACGAGAGCCCCUGGGAUUCCCAGGGCAUCAGAAGGCCCAUCAGCCUCCCGUGAACUGCUGGGGUGGGCCUGGCCUUGGGACGCGGGUGCAGGGGCCUCUCCUCACUGCCCCAUGGCACCCACAGCCAGUGCCAGAGCCUGCUGCAGCCCCGACCCGGCAGAGCAAGCGGCUCUGCUACCUCAGCCACGUAGCUGAUGGCAUCCUUCAGGUUCAGCUCGUGGAAGACAUUCAGGAUCCGGUCUCGAGACUUCUGGGCCGACCGUCUCAUGAGGACCCUGCUGAGGAACUUCCUGUCGAAGUGGGACCACCUGUAGGGACAGACCUUGGGUGUGAGCCUCAGGUGACAGGCGCCCUAGAGCCCGCCGGACGCGUGGCCCGGCCCCUUCUCUCCUGAAUUUUGUUUGCUAUAGUGACCCUGUAGGCGCGUUUAAAAUGAGGGAAGCAGCCCCUGCCACACGCCCAGGCCGUCCGCCGUUCUCCCGCCUGUCCUGUUGGAUGGAGGCCGUUAGACGCAUAUGAAACUGCAUGCCGCCUCCUCCAGAGGGUGGCUCAGGACACGGUGGGUGUCAGGCCUGGUCAGGCAAGGGGGCUUUGGCCACAUGGGGGGCACCUUCAGGUGCACAGGAGGAAGGGCAGGGGCGGACAGACACCCUGAGCCCUUAGACUUGUGGGAGCCAAGCUGACCAGAGUGAGGUUUUUUUUAGCCUAACGGAAUUAGAGUAUUCGCUGGUUAUCCAGAUCAGAAGGGACGGUGGCCUGGCCGGACUUAGAGGAAACUCUGGGGCACAAGGAGGUGAUGCCUGUCACUUGGACAUGGGUGCAGCCGCCAGAGCCGCCCUCCAGGGCACAGGGUGGGCCCGGGUGAGCUUGUGUGCUCACACCUGGGCAGGCCCCGCGGCAGCAAUGGCAGCUCUCCUGUACAGGCUGAGUUUCAGCCACACCAAGAAGUCAAAGCUAACCGAGGCUGUGCCUUCCGAGACCCCCGGGAUGGCCCCUGGGAGGCCAAGGAGUCGGGGACUGGGUACCCGGAGCAGAGUCACUGUGGCCACGGAGAACCGCAGCUGAGCUUUAUGAAGCCACGUGGCCACACCUCCCGGUGCCUCCACCCCAAGCAAACACAGAUCGCUCAGAAAAUGGGAACCCAGGGCAAAUUGUAUGUGCUCCUUACUGGGUUUAUUAUAAGUGUCACAUGUUUUUUAUAAUAAAACAUAGGUGAUUUCACCUUAAU
rnacentral:lncRNA from 1 species